AGGGGUGGGGGUGGGGGUUGGGAGGUGAGGGGGAGGAGAGAGAGGGUGCCUGAGUUGGCUCCAAGUUGGACUCUAGUAGGGGCUUCACAAGGGUCCUAGCACACACCCUCUGGAAAGUUACAACCUUGUUUAUAAAGUUUUGCAACGUAUUUUGUGAGGGUUUUAAAAAUAAAACUAGACUAUAAAUGAAAUAGACACUUUUGAAAAACUAAAAAAAAAUUUUUUUUUUUUUAUUCCCUCAUAAGAUUAUUUUUUAUUUGAGAAGAGUCUGAGGAAUAUUUGAGGGUUUAAAAGAAUCUGAUUCUUUUCUUUCUGGAUUUAAACAUUUUCUGGGUACUGAGAAAGGGAGAAGAGAACACAUCAAAAUAUGACCUCUGGUGUUUCUUGUUAUAUGGAUUAUGGUUAAACUUACACUGACUUUGAAAUAUCUUUGUUACAUAUGAUAAACAAGUCUCAGCUACUUCUACUAGUUUUUAGCAAGGUGAUUCUAAGUACAGUCUGUGCACAUUUAUUUAAAUACCUGCAGCAUUAGAUAAUCUUCAUUUUGACCCUGGAUUUCUUAAGUACUUGACACACUGUUGUCCAGAUAACACUGAGAAAACACAGGAAACGCAGGUCCAAAUUCAGCCUUGGACUUUUGCAAAAAGGCCAUAAAUGGAAAGUGUGAGAUUGUACUCUGACAUAAGAUAAUGCUCUUAGUGGAGGACUCACAUAGUUGCUCUUCCUUUGAAAGGAUGGCAUUUUAAUGUUGCUUUGCUGCCAGAUGUUCCUCUGGUUGCUGUGGACUGAUUCUUUUUUCACAUUUUUAAAAAGUUUAACUGUACAUAGUUUUCUCUAAAGGCAGGACUAAAAGGGAACCAGGAAGGUUUACUUGGUAAGGAAAUUAUUUUCCAAAAAUUUCAUAUUUGUAAAAAAUUUGGUUUAUGGAAUUUUAUUAGCUGCCCUAAAUCUGUAAUGCUAGGCUGUAACAGUGCUAAAAAAUCCUACAUCGUUACUGACGAAUGUGUGAUCUUUUCACAGUCACACCACCUGCUGCCUGGAAAGCAGACUGUACACAUAGAAUGGCGAAGGCAGAACAGUAUCAACUGUAUUUCCACUGUUCUUACUUCCUCUUGUCCCUUUCAUAACUUGGCCUCUUCAGCCUUAAUCUUUCAAAGGCUUAUAGUAUAAUAGGAACUGAAGAUCUAUAUCAAAUGUAACACUUCUUUCAUCUUUUGGAAUAAUUGAAGUUUUAGUGUAACCCCUCCAUGUAUAUAAAUUGGGAGGUGAAAAUGUGGCAUGAAAUUUCACAAAUGUGGUUCAGGCCUAAGAGGCUGCUACCUAUCAUUUAAGUGACAGUAAUAUGUUUUCAACAUCUUUCUACUUCUCCCUCCACAAUCAUAUGUCUUAAAAUGGAGUUGUGAAAUUUGAUAACCUAAUAUUCAGGAUUCUAUUGAGGCAAGGAUAUGUAAUACGAGAUUUUACAAAGACAGCUACAAUCCAAGCAGCCUCUGUAUGAAUAACGUAAGUUGAACUCCAGCAGUGGGCUAGGCAGACAACAUUUGGAUGGUCUUAGCCUUAAUCCUGAGACCAGAACCCAAUUUGAUGCAGAAUCCAUUUGACUUAUUUGGUGCUGUUCAUUCACUGGUGUCAUUCUUCACCUUUUAAUACUAUGAAGGAGUGUUGUAGACUGGAGAAGAUUUGCCUACAUUCUAAAUAUUUAAUUGUGUCAGGAGCUUUGCAGAAAAUUCUGAAGUUAUUAUAUAUGUAUUUUCCUGAGUAAUGGUUAUCUUAGGUAGAGAAAUACUUCAUGCAAUUAUAAUAAUGCCCCAAAAGUUAAUUUUUUGGAAAAUAUAGCCUGUUCAGGUAAGUUUACAUCAGUAAUCUGAUACGUGGAUAUUGGUAAAUUUUAAAAUCCAGGAUACCCUUUUGGGCAUAGACCUUCUUAAGAUAGAGUUCAAAGAGGGUCCAUUUAAACUGGAUUACUGUAUCAGUGUUCUUUGAAAUGCCAAGUUGUUAUACCAAAAUCCUCAAUUACAUAACAUUGCAUAGAUCAAUGAAAUGUUGCAUCUUCGAUGAAUAAAAUACGUAUUUUGAGCACACUUUAAUAGUUUUAAAACUGACCAAUACACAGAAGAGUCCUGGCUAGUGGAGGGUACAUUCUAGUUAAUAGAAGGAUGAACUCCUUUGUUAUCUGACUCUCCUUUUCUGGAAAAGCAUGGUCUACAUUAAAUAUCUUUUGGUCAAUGUACUCAACACUCACUAAAACCUUUCACACUCUGUCUUGUCUUCCUAGUUUAAUGUACAUCUCUCUUUUCUUCCACAUUUAAUUCCACAAAUUAAAAUGUUCACAAUUUAAGAAAAAAUACUUCAAUACCAGUUGGCUUACGAGGCUCUACACAUAGUUUUCAAUACAUACCUAUUUUGUAAUCUCUUUCAAAGCCACUUUUAGAAAUUAUUAAUAGUAAAAUUAGGUUUCUGUUUCCUGAGUUGAAAAAUCAGACAUGUUCAUCUUUAGUGUAAAAGGCUUAAACAAGAUACACUGCUUCAGGAGAAAUCAAAACAUUUUUGUUCAGGUGAUUUAUGAUCAUGGAUUCCUAACUGGGCCAACACUAAUGCAACCUGAUGUAAUUCAAUAUUGAGAUGUAAAUUCAUUUCGUAGACUUAUAAUCUUAUUUAAAAAUUAGGAGUAUUGUUUUUAAAUUUAUCCUUACAUAACCCUGGGCAAUUUAUUAUGCUCUUGUUAUUUUUGUGGUUUUCAUCAACUCUUGCUUAUACUCCUGAUGAGGCUCUUCUACAUUUAUCCAGGAAAAUUAAGUGAAUAUCUUGCCUUCUGUUAAACUGAGGGAAUUUUUAUGAAGUCUGUAUUCUCGAAAAUCACUACAUGGCUACCUAAAACUCAUUCAAUUCUCACUAUCCCUACCCAGGAGGCAGCUCCCUGUGCUAGCAGCUGACAGAUCUGAAGGCGAUGCAGGUGUCUCCGGGAAAGGGAUUGAUCAUAGCUGAGUGCCUGGUAUCUUUGGUCAGGGAAAGAGACCACUUCACAGUCUAGGAUAUUCUCUUUGAUGCAUGACUAUAUGGUACACAGAGACCGAAAAGUACUGACAGCGCAGUGUGGUAGCUGGACAGAAGUUCUGCUUAUCCUUGAAGACCAACAGUUCACAAUCAUGGUAGAAGCAGCAGCAUAGAAGCCACUGGAAGAAUGGGGUUGGAGCUCUUUCAAUGACUUAUUCCCAGAGAAUUGUCUGGUGGUUUCCUGGAAGACCUCACUUGCAAGACUGCCUUUAUUUUCUCUGAUCAGAGUUUGCCACCAAUGCUUUUCCAAGUAUUUAAUGAGAAAAAAAUCAGAGGCAUUUGUGGCUGCCUGAAGUAAUAACCAUUGGCGCAAACCACAGGCCAACCAUAAACUAAAAAGGAAAAGUUGAGUAAUGAGAGGCUUCAAAAAGCUCUGCCAUUGCUAGGAAUUCAGAUGACCUUGUACAUGCAUAGACCAAGGACUUUGCGCAAGCCAAGGAUUGUUACUCCUGCUCAGGAAAGACCUGGAGACAUCCUAACUCACCUUAGGUUGAUCUUGGUGAACUGCUCAAGCAGAAAGUGAAGAUGAAGGCAGAGUUGUCAACCUCCUGGCUGGGUGUUGGAGGAUGUCCCAACAUGCAUACAAAGCUGUCAGCAAAGACUGGGAGAGUUAUUGGUUUCAGGUGUGUAUGGAAGUACUGUCUAAUCAUUUGGUGACUAAGAAACUACCUGAGAAAGACUUCAGAGUCUAUCUUUUAUGAAGAAUAUGGACUUUAAAGAAUUAGUUCAGAUGAGUUGCUGAACAACCAAAACCAGCAACUUCAUCAAACUCUUAGCAAAAGGGUAAGUAAAUCUAAUUUCUAAAGUUAUCCUAUUAGUUUUCCUCAAAAAAAAAAUUACGAGACAUGCAAAAAAUAAGUGUGCCCCAUAAAAAGUGGAAAAAGUCAAUAAACCAUCUUGAGAAAGUCCAAAUGCUAGAAUGUGUAAAGACUUUAAAUUGACUAUUUUAAUAUAUUCAUAUAACUAAAGUGUGAAAAUGAUGUAUCACUGAGUAGAAAACUCAGUGGUAAAUAAAGUGAUAAAAAGAUAGAAAUUAUUUUUAAUGCAUAAAUUAUAGAGUUUAAAUAAAGAUAGCUGAAAACAAAAAUCCCCCAGAGGAGCUCAACAUCAGAUUUGAGUAGGCAGAAGAAAGAAUCAGCAAACUUGAAUAUAGGUCAAUUGAGGUUAUCCAGGUUGAGGAACAGAAAGAAAAGAGAAUGGAGAAAAAUUAAUAGAGCCUUGAAAACCCAUCAGAUACUAUCAAGUGUACCAAUAUAUGCAUAACAAGAGUCACAUAAAGGGAGAAGAAAAAAAGAAUAUUUGAAAAAUAAUGACCAAAAACUUCAAAAUUUGAUGAAAAAUAUUAACAUACCAAGAAGCUCAAUGAACCUGAAGUAGGAUAAAUUCAAACUCAUUCCUGGACAUAUAAUCAUACUGUCAAAAGAUAAAGACAAGGAGAAAAUUGACUCAUACACAAGAAAUUCUUAUCAGAAAAUGUGGAGACCAGAAGUGAGAAGGAUGACUUGGAAAUGCAAAAGGAAAUGACUAUCAAGCAAGAAUUUUGUAUCCAGCAAAACAAUCCUUCAAAAGUGAAGAUGAAAUUAAAACAUUCUCAGAUAAAACAAAAUUCAGCAUUAGCAAGCCUGUCCUACAAGAAAUAACAGAGUCCUUCAGGCUACAAUAAAAGGACAAUAUAUUCAAAUGCAGAUGAGGAAAUAAAGAGCACAGAUAAAGGGAGCUACAUGGGUAAACAUAAAAGAGCAUAAACGCAUUUUUUGUUCACAACUUUUUUUACUCCUAAUUUAAGAGGCAACUCCACUAAAAAGUUAUAAAUCUUUGUUGAUGGUCACAAAGUGAGAAAACAAAAUAUGUGUGACAAUAACUACAAAGGGAGAGGGAACAAAUCUGUAUGGGAACAAACUUUUUGUAUAAUACUGAGAUUAAGCUGGUAUUAGUCAAAACUUGGCUUCCCUGGUGGCUCGGAGGUUAAAGCAUCUGCCUCUAAUACGGGAGACCUGGGUUCGAUCCCUGGGUGGGGAAGAUGCCCUGGAGAAGGAAAUGGCAACCCACUCCAGUAUUCUUGCCUGGAGAAUCCCAUGGAUGGAGGAGCCUGGUGGGCUACAGUCCAUGGGGUUGCAAAGAGUCGGAGACGACUGAGCGACUUAAAAGAAAAAUCAAAACUAGACUAUACAUUAAGAUAUUAAUUAUAAUCCUCAGGGAAAACACUAAGAAAUAUAUGGUAAAAUAAUAACUAAAGAAUAUAUAGUAAAAGAUACAAAAAGGAUACAAAAAAGGAUACAAAAGAUACAAAAAUGGCACACUAAAAAUAUACAACAGAAGGCAUGGAAGUAUGGAGGAACAGAAAAAGACAUAAGACAUAGAAAACAAACAGCAAGAUGGCAGACUAAAUCCUACCUUAUCAGUAAUCAUAUUAAAUGUAAAUGAAUUAACACUCCUAUUAAAAGGUAGAAAUGGCAGAAUGGGUAAAAAUCAUGAUCCAACUAUAUGCUGCCUACAAAUCAGUUAACACAUAGAUUGAAAGUAAAACCAAAAAAUAAAAAAGGAAAAAGAUAUACCACACAAACUUAACAAAGAGAGCCAGUGUGGCUAUGUUAAUCUCAAGCAAAAGAGACUUUAAGGCAUAAAUUGUUACUAGAGACAAAGACAUUACAUAAUAAUAAAAGGAUCGGUCCGUCAGGAAGACAUAAUUAUGCACAUAUAUGUACCUAACAACAGAGCGCCAAAGGAAGGGAAAACUGACAGAGCUGAAGUGAGGAACAGCCAAUUCAGUAACAGCAGCUGGAGACUUGAGUGCUUCACUUGCAAUCGUGGAUAGAACAACUAAAGAGACGUCAGCAAAGAGAGGACUUGAACAACACCUUAAGCCAAGUAGCCCUAACAGACAUGCACAGAACAACAGCAAACGCGCAUUCUUUUAAAGUGCACAUGGAGCAUUCCUUGGGGUAAAAAAGUCUUAAUAUUUUUAAUAGGAUUGAAUCACAUGAAAUACGUUCUCUGACCACAAGAGAAUGAAAUUAGAAACAACUAACAGAAGGAAACUCGGCAAUUUUAUAAAUAUAUGGAAAUUUAACAUGACAUUCCUAAUUAAUCAAUGGGUAAAAGAAGAAACCAUAGAUUGAUGGUUGCCUGGAUGGGGGGUUGGGGAAAUGGGUAGUGACCGAUAAUGAGUGUGGCAUUUCUUUAUGGGCUGAUGAAGACGGUUUGGAGUUAGAUAGUCAUGAUGGUUGCACCACCUUGUGAAUAUACCAACAACGCACACACUGAAGAGGUGGUUUGUGGAAUGUGAAUUAUAUCUCAGCUUAAAACUCAAAACCAGUGAUACAGCUUACUUCACAUACCUGUAAACAAGCUAUUUUUCGACAGACCAGUAAUCCUUCCAGAAUCCAAGAAUGGAACUGCAGUCACUGUGGCUGUGAAGUGAAUGGAAACUCAGUAUUAACACUCAUCUGGUUAGAGUCUGUGCUUACUAGCUAACAUCAACAUCAGGCCAAAUCCACAGUAAUUUAAAAAUCCCAGGUGGUGAGUGUUCCUACUCACUUAAUCCACUGAACAAACAGUCACCAUUCCAGUGAGGCCCCUCAAGGAACAGAGACCACUAAAAGUAAAACACCAUGAAAUUAAUGUGUUUGAAAAUGUAAUCAAGUGGAAAAUUCUGGAAAGUACUAGGAAGUACUCUUCUGUAAAGUACUUGUAAAUCAUAUUGCUUUUUUCCUAGUUUACAACACUGAUUGGUAGCAUUUUUUAUCUAGAACAAAAAUUUAUAGGGGGGUAUUAUUUACUAAAGGUCAUUUUGUAUCUUUUCAUCAUAAUUACAGCUAUGUGUUUAUCAUGAUUUUAAAAAAAUACUUCUAUCCAAGGCUGUUAAUAAUUCUCUAAAACUGAUAAAGAUCACUGUUUAAUUUAUUGACCAAACAAUUACACCCACUUUGAGGAUAUGCAGUCUAAUUCAGUAGACCAAAACAAUGUUUAGAUUUUAAAUUAAAAGAGAUUUUGUAAUUAUGCAUAAGAAACAGUAGAUGUAUCUUGCCCUUUUCAGGUUUAUCUUUAAUUUUAGGUGAUUGGUCUGGUAAAAAUUUUUAAAGAAAAAUAUACCUCCAGUUGCAGUAUUAUUAGUAUGAUCUUACUAUUUGAAAUAAUCCAGUAAAUUGUGUUGUGAGUUAUGAUUAAGGAGUCCUGUACAUUGAUUAUACAAUGCAAUCAUGCAUAAAAGCACUUGGUAGACAGUCCGAAAAGGAAAAUCUUUUUUAUUUAAUCCCUAUCUUCCUAUAAGAAUUCUUUAUCCGUGUAAUUUUUUACAUCUUGUAAUUCAUAUUAAAGUAGGCCUUUUUCUAAUUACAAAAGCAAUACUGCAGCCUAGAGAAAGAGAUGAAGAAAAAGCUUACUAUCCCAACAACCCCUUCAUAAGUAUUUGUCUUUUCAGUCUUUUCUAUGAAUGCUACACAUAUACUUGUGGAUUUACUUAAAUGACAUCUUAGCAUACAAACCAUUUUAUAACUUGCUUUCUUCAACUAAUAUUUUGUGAAAAUCAUAUCAAUA
ensembl:lncRNA